CUUUUGCGCUUAGGAGGUAUUUUAAUUCAACAUCGAGGUCAUAAUCUCACUUGUCAAUUAGAGCUUUCUAAGUGAAUUAAGCUGUUAUCCCUAAAGUAACUUAUUCUUUUUUUAAAAUUUCUAGAUAUUAAAACACAACUGUUUCAUUUUAGAAAAGAAAAGUCUAUUUUCCUACCGCCCCAGUAAAAUACUUAUUUAUUUUCCUAAAAAUAAAAAAUAUAAAGUUUUAUAGGGUCUUCUCGUCUUUAAGAGAUAUUUUAGCCUUCUUACUAAAAAGUUAACUUUAUUUUUUAUUUCCUGAAAAUUUUCUUCCAGUUUACUCUUUCAUUCCAG
rnacentral:rRNA from 1 species